rnacentral:rRNA from 1 species
GGCUCUGUCUCAGAUUAGCCAUGCAUAUCUAAGUACAAGCCUCACUAAGGUGAAACCGCGAAUGGCUCAUUAUAUCACACCUAAUCUACUGGAUAGUUAACAGUUACUUGGAUAACUGCGGUAAUUCUGGAGCUAAUACAUGCACAAAGCCCCAAACUUCCGUGAGGGGCGCUUUUAUUAGAUCAAAACCAAUCGGCUUCGGCUGAACUCUUGGUGACUCUGAAUAACUUUGGGCUGAUCGCAUAGCCUAGCGCUGGCGACAUAUCCUCCGAAGGUGUGCCCUAUCAACUGUCGACUGUGGCAUAGACGCCCACAGUGGUUUUGACGGGUAACGGGGAAUCAGGGUUCGAUUCCGGAGAGGGAGCCUUAAAAACGGCUACCACAUCUAAGGAAGGCAGCAGGCACGCAAAUUACCCAAUCCUGACACAGGGAGGUAGUGACAAUAAAUAACAAUACAGGACCUUUUAGGCCUUGUAAUUGGAAUGAGAACAAUUUAAAUC